rnacentral:lncRNA from 1 species
GGCUUGCGGAAGCCGCUCUGCUCGGGAGUCCUGGCCCAUUCCGUGGCCAGACGAGGGUGCGAGGUGGGCGGCGGCGGCGGCGGCGGCGGUAGUG